UGAGAGAGUAGAACAAGAGAUCGAACUGCCUGUGUGAGUUCGUCUAAUAAUCGAGUGCCAGUCAUAGAAACAUAACAUGUCGAGAAUAAUGCCUAAAAGUAUCAAAGUGCAUAGAGUUCUCAGAGUAAAAAGAAUUGUCCCCUUGACUCUUCAACCUCGACGUCCUUAUAUACUCCUCCUAGAGGCGGUUUGCUCAUUCCCGUCCUGCCUUUGGUCGAAUUUAUCGAUUC
rnacentral:lncRNA from 1 species